UACAGAGGUCUCAAGCGUUGUUCGGAUUCAUUGGGCGUAAAGGGUGCGUAGGCGGCGCGGUAAGUCGGGUGUGAAAUCUCGGAGCUUAACUCCGAAACUGCAUUCGAUACUGCCGUGCUUGAGGACUGGAGAGGAGACUGGAAUUUACGGUGUAGCGGUGAAAUGCGUAGAUAUCGUAAGGAAGACCAGUGGCGAAGGCGGGUCUCUGGG
rnacentral:rRNA from 1 species